GGCAGCGCCCGGCUCCACCACGCUGCUCCAGGGAGAGGAGGGCAGGAAGGCUCCCCAGCCUUUACGGGCAGCCCCGCCCGCUGAACUCAAGCUGCCAUUUUGAGAAAGGGCAGGGCAAGCUGGUGAGGCGCGUGUCGCCAUGCUGGAGUUGGGCACGGAGCAGCGAGUGAAGCUGUCGCGGGCCCAUCCUUAGUGUGGGAAAGCGGCGUGGCUGUGAGGCGAGGCGGGGUUUGUGUGGGACCGCGGCGGCAGCGGAGUUCAGUGCAGCGUGAGCAGGCGCGUGCAGAGGCCGAGUCAAGCUGACUGUCUUUUUCGGGGCCCUCCCAGCACCGACAGUUUCUUGGUUUUGCGCCCCUCUCAAGCUGCCACCAAACUCCCUGAAGAGUCGGCAGGAAGCGGCGCUUUGAAGGAGCGCGCUCCGGCGCGCCCUGAGGAGGAUCUUUAAUCGCCGCAGGGGCAGAUGCUCGGAGCCGCCCCAAGGCCCCGCGCCAGGCCCGCACAGGCCCUGCCCGCAGAGGUCCUUCCCAGGGAAUUUCCUUCCCAGGGAAUCCCUGUUGGGAUUAGAUCCGUAAACUGUGUCAGCAGGACCCAAGAGAGAGAUGCUGAAAGUGGAGUUUAAAUUACGAUGGGCUGAACGAGCCUGUUUACGCCUUCAGGGGUGCGCUGUAGGGCGGCCGCCUCAAAAUGAGAGCAGCCGAGGUGGUGCUGAGCCGCACGCCAAAAAUUUCCGUGAGGAAUGUCGGGGUGUGCCCUCAGACUCCAGCUCCUACAAGCAUUCGGCUCGGAGGAAAAGUAACCCGGAGAUCAGCAAUCAGCUUAAUUAUCGUGUAAAAAAUCCUGAUUGGGGAACUGUCUUGUCUGUUGACCUCUGUAUUUCGUAGAGAUGCUUCAUGCGCCUAAAGGAGGAAUGAGCCAUGAGGAGAUGCAGUGGCUAAUGUCCUGCGUUGUGUAAGACCAGUGAAAAAGCCCCGGUUUUGCACGUUUCUAACCAUAAAGAAUGCUGUUUUUCGAGCCUCGGUCACUCCUUGUCAUUGUGUGUCUACCACUGUCAUUGAGGGAUCUAAUGUCUCAGUGAUGACAUUACCUGACUGACGUUUCCUGUUUAUUUCUUUUUAAAUAACAAUACGAAGCACUCGCAAAACAUUUUUCACUUUACAGCAAUAUCAAGUAUUAACUAAUGAACCUGCUCACACCCAAAUGAGCUAUAUGAUAGCAUUAUUACAUGCAGACAGUCAGAGUGACUUCCUCAGGGCUACUGUGAGUCAGUGACACAGGUAGCAUUAUGCUCCAGGUCCUAUUUCAGAUUCAUUCCAGCAGACUGUACAGUUUUGCACACCUGGAAGGUUUGCAAAGUCAUUAUGAAUUAUUAUUUGUUUCAUUUUUAUAGUUUCAUUGAUCAGUGCAUCAAUUUACUUCAUGUAAAAGGCUUCAGCUGUGAAAUUCAGUCUCAUAUUCACUCAUGAGAUCCUAAAAUCGUCAUUUUUCAAAACUUAUAUUUGCAAUCCUGUGAUGUGCUGAGUGCCCACCCUUUACAGUUGGUACAGAAAAACAUUAUCAGAAUCGGCUUUGGUGGAAGGAAAAGAAUAUUUACAUUCAAUGUUCAUUCUGCAUCUUGACCUUGUGCUGAACCAUUUUUUUCUUUAGACUGAAAGGAAUGAGAAAGAAGUGUCUUUACACACAGAUUCUGGGCCUGAUGGUAGAUAAGGCCAGCUAUGACAGGGUGAAAGAAGCAGUGGGGGGGAACCAUAAAUUCCAUAGGAAUUCCACUAAUUGA